rnacentral:rRNA from 1 species
CCUACGGGGGACUGCAGUGGGGGAUAUUGCACAAUGGGGGGAACCCUGAUGCAGCGACGCCGCGUGUGGGAAGACGGUCCUCUGGAUUGUCAACCACUGUCCCCAGGGACGAAAAUGACGGUACCUGGGGAGGAAGCUCCGGCUAACUACGUGCCAGCAGCCGCGGUAAUACGUAGGGAGCGAGCGUUGUCCGGAAUUACUGGGUGUAAAGGGAGCGUAGGCGGGGAUGCAAGUUGGGUGUCAAAACUACCGGCUCAACUGGUAGUCGCACUCAAAACUGCAGCUCUUGAGUGAAGUAGAGGCAGGCGGAAUUCCUAGUGUAGCAGUGAAAUGCGUAGAUAUUAGGAGGAACACCAGUGGCGAAGGCGGCCUGCUGGGCUUUUACUGACGCUGAGGCUCGAAAGUGUGGGGAGCAAACAGGAUUAGAUACCCCUGUAGUC